UGCAGAUGCAAGUAGUAAAAUAUUCUAAGAUGAGAUCAUCCUGCAUUAGAUGGACCAUGAAUCCAAUCAUUGCUGUCUCUAUAAGAGACAGAGGAGGAGAACAGACACAGAGGGUAAGGCCGCAUGGAGACGGAGGCAGAGACUGGAGUGAUGCGGCCACAAGCACAGGGACACCUGGAGCCCUCAGGAGCUGGGAGAGGCAGGAAGGACCCUCCCUGAGAGCCUCUGGAGGGAACUGGAUACAAGUGAAGUAGAUUGAACUGUGAUCCCCCAAAAAGAACCCCAGGAAGCUCCUGAAGCAAUCCGCCCUUCCAUCUCUGUGUCUGGCAGACACUACUGUGUGAUUCCAGCGGGACAGCACCCACCACACUCACCUUCAUUGCUCAGGGGGAAGGAACAGUCAGUCAGCUGUGAGUCACCAGAAACCAAGAGCUUUCUUAAUUUAGUUGCAUCAGCUCUUCCCGGCAGCGUAUGGAUUUCCUGCAAAAGUGGCCUCAUGAUUUAGUUAGGGAAACAGCUCCAAGGAUGGGAGACGGCUGCGCUCCACAAUUUCCCUCCUGCAGCUAGGAAGGAAGUCAGGACUGUUCUGUGG
rnacentral:lncRNA from 1 species